AAAAAGACAAUUAAUCAUGUAUAUGUUGAAUUUUAUUUAUUUCCAUAUUUGUUUUGACUUUUUAAAAAGGGACAAAAUGGCCAUCGGGGCUUAGGGGCCAGGUUGUGGUGGUCUUUGUCUGGACAUGGCUGUGGCAGUGGUGAAGCUGGCGGAGGAGCGCACGUGUUGAUGUUGAGCAUGUGGAGGUUCACAGUCACCUCCAACUCCACCUCCAUCGAUCUAUGAAUAUUUCAGUUUCUUGCCUUCUUGUUUCAGCCACAAGGUCACCAGCUGCUACUUCAUAAUGCAAGCAUGAGUGCAAAAUGAAAGUGAACAUUAAAAAUGAAGCACAGAGGAUAUUAACAUUGGUACCCAUUUUGGCUUUCUUCUUCAUCCACAAGAUAAUAAAAGAAUUUCAUUUAUAGAAAGAGAGGAGAUUAGUGAGUCAAGGACUCAUCAGUAAACACAUAUUAAAAAAUACAAAUAAAAUUGUUCUUUUUUUUUAAAUUUUUUUUUUUUUUUUUUUUUUUUUCUUUUCUUUUGGUAGUUGCCCUAUCAUUUGGCAUCAUUUUGUUUUAAAAAACAAAAGGUGCGUCUCACAUGAAGGGACCGAAUGACCAAAUUAUUCAACUUAGCAGCCAUGAAAGGAUACAAAAGCAAGUUCCAAUUUUCACAAGAAUAAUAAUAAUCUGUGAUGAAAGUGGGGUGAAAAUAUGGGCAAGAUUCGUUAAUUCAAUUUGAUUUCAUAUGAAUUAUAUAGGUUUGAGUUUGAAAAAUUAAUUCAUUUAAUAAAUGAGUAAAUUCGAUCUAAUUCGCUAAAUAAACUAAUAGAAUCCAUAUUUAAGUACAUUAAUUUUUUUUUAUUUAAUAAAUAAGUCAAAAAUAAAUCGAAUGCGAAUUAUUUGUUUAAAAAUUCAUUAAUUAUCAUUUAAUUGAAUUAUCUUUUUAUCCUUGCCGAUGCCUUACCAGCGUUAUUAAAUCAUAGCAUUCAAUCAUAAGUGAUGCUUCUUCUCUUUUGCCCUAUGUUCUGUGAUUUUAACUUUUUAAUCCUUACUGUUGUGAAAGUCAUCUUUCGAUCUGUUUAAUUUUUACUGUGUUGAAAGUUAAGAAACUUCUUGAUGGUUGAUAAUGAUGUAAUGAAUCUUGUACGCGUGCAUGCUUGAGGGAUUCAUUAGUUGUGGUGGUCUUUGUCUGGACAUGGCUGUGGCAGUGGUGAAGCUGGCGGAGGAGCGCACGUGUUGAUGUUGAGCAUGUGGAGGUUCACAGUCACCUCCAACUCCACCUCCAUCGAUCUAUGAAUAUUUCAGUUUCUUGCCUUCUUGUUUCAGCCACAAGGUCACCAGCUGCUACUUCAUAAUGCAAGCAUGAGUGCAAAAUGAAAGUGAACAUUAAAAAUGAAGCACAGAGGAUAUUAACAUUGGUACCCAUUUU
rnacentral:lncRNA from 1 species